AUUGAACGCUGGCGGCAGGCCUAACACAUGCAAGUCGAACGGUAACAGGAAGAAGCUUGCUUCUUUGCUGACGAGUGGCGGACGGGUGAGUCAUGUCUGGGAAACUGCCUGAUGGAGGGGGAUAACUACUGGAAACGGUAGCUAAUACCGCAUAACGUCGCAAGACCAAAGAGGGGGACCUUCGGGCCUCUUGCCAUCGGCUGUGCCCAGAUGGGAUUAGCUAGUAGGUGGGGUAACGGCUCACCUAGGCGACGAUCCCUAGCUGGUCUGAGAGGAUGACCAGCCACACUGGAACUGAGACACGGUCCAGACUCCUACGGGAGGCAGCAGUGGGGAAUAUUGCACAAUGGGCGCAAGCCUGAUGCAGCCAUGCCGCGUGUAUGAAGAAGGCCUUCGGGUUGUAAAGUACUUUCAGCGGGGAGGAAGGGAGUAAAGUUAAUACCUUUGCUCAUUGACGUUACCCGCAGAAGAGGCACCGGCUAACUCCGUG
rnacentral:rRNA from 1 species